rnacentral:rRNA from 1 species
GUGGGGAAUAUUGGACAAUGGGCGCAAGCCUGAUCCAGCCAUGCCGCGUGAGUGAUGAAGGCCCUAGGGUUGUAAAGCUCUUUCAGUGGGGACGAUAAUGACGGUACCCACAGAAGAAGCCCCGGCUAACUUCGUGCCAGCAGCCGCGGUAAUACGAAGGGGGCUAGCGUUGUUCGGAUUUACUGGGCGUAAAGCGCACGUAGGCGGAUCGUUAAGUCGAGGGUGAAAUCCUGGAGCUCAACUCCAGAACUGCCUUCGAUACUGGCGAUCUUGAGUCCGGAAGAGGUGAGUGGAACUCCUAGUGUAGAGGUGGAAUUCGUAGAUAUUAGGAAGAACACCAGUGGCGAAGGCGGCUCACUGGUCUGGUACUGACGCUGAGGUGCGAAAGCGUGGGGAGCAAACAGGAUUAGAAACCCUGGUAGUCC